rnacentral:rRNA from 1 species
UACGAAGGGGGCUAGCGUUGCUCGGAAUCACUGGGCGUAAAGGGUGCGUAGGCGGGUCUUUAAGUCAGGGGUGAAAUCCUGGAGCUCAACUCCAGAACUGCCCUUGAUACUGGCGGUCUCGAGUCCGGGAGAGGUGAGUGGAACUGCGAGUGUAGAGGUGAAAUUCGUAGAUAUUCGCAAGAACACCAGUGGCGAAGGCGGCUCACUGGCCCGGUACUGACGCUGAGGUGCGAAAGCGUGGGGAGCAAACAGGGAUUAAGAUACCCAG